rnacentral:lncRNA from 1 species
UUCGAUAAAGAAAGGAUUUAACGAUUAGUCCUUAAAACUGUUCAUAACUAAAUGAUAAGCUGUUAAUAAGGACGAUAGCUUCUAUCGAGCAUAGAUCGCUGUAGGCCAUAUGGGUAGUUGUCCUCUUAACCAAUGAGUGUAGAGACACUGGUAUAGCAUACAGGUGAGAUGUAAAUGUACAUCAUCAUUGAACGUGACUAACUCCAGAGUAUUCUGCUGUCAAGAAUAUCUCUGAUGGGAUAUAGAUAUAAGUAUCUCUUAGACCUG